UACGGAGGGGGCUAGCGUUGUUCGGAAUUACUGGGCGUAAAGCGCACGUAGGCGGCUUUGUAAGUUAGAGGUGAAAGCCCGGGGCUCAACUCCGGAAUUGCCUUUAAGACUGCAUCGCUAGAAUUGUGGAGAGGUAAGUGGAAUUCCGAGUGUAGAGGUGAAAUUCGUAGAUAUUCGGAAGAAACACCAGUGGCGAAGGCGACUUACUGGA
rnacentral:rRNA from 1 species